UCCUGGACUCUUCAGUGAUGACGAUCAGAGUCUGAGUGAACCUGCUGUCAGACAGGUUGGCCUGACUGACGAUGCCAUCGUUCAUCGGCGAUGGCUGAUAGACAUCACGAUCACUGCGCCGGCAAACAGCGUCAUCAGCUCCAGUAUCUCGCGCGUGCAUCUGUUGUCAUGCGACAGAGAAGUCACGUUCUAUAGACAGUUGUGAACGUGCUGACAGCUGGUUGCCCAGGCUAUGGAUUAAAGGUAAUACUGUUGGCCAGCAGAGCCCUGCUCACCCUGACGGCCCACCGCUGCUGUCAGACAACAUCUCCAAGAUGCUAGAAACUGCAGGACCAGAUCGCCAUCCCAAGGUUUCUAGAGAUUACACCAGCUCCAGACUGAAUCCAGACUCACUUGUGAAGACUUCAGAUGACACCAACUUUCACAAAGACUACAACUGUACAUGAACACAUAAUACAUUUGACACACAAAACAAAUAUUAUCCUUAUUUUGCCUAUAAGGGUAAAUUUGAUGAUUUUCAACCUGCUUUAUUGUAACGUCUCUUAUAUCUGUAAAUGAACAAUAUUUACUCUCUGAGUUAUGUGGACCUACAUGUCCCCUUUUAUUUGUAAGCAUCACU